UGCGACAUUCAAUAGUUGAGACUUGGGGACCAUCCUACUUAACUUUUUCUAUAGCAGAGGCAGCAUGGAACAAAUGUUGGGUUUAGCUCACUUGCUGUUCCUUCAACCAAUCAACCACCACAUGCUACAAGAUUGCAUAUCAGCUCAUGAAUCAUCAAAAUGUGGAGGAGUGAAGAAACAUAUAUGGCGAAUCCGCUGACGUGCUGAACAGAGGUCAAAACCGUUUUGGGAGGAACAACUAUCAGGAUUUCCAUGGAGCAGUUGCUGCACAAAGGGCUGGUUGCCACCACGAUAUGCCACUCCCGGCUCGGCCUGGGAUGACGCCGUCAUGGAGGAUCACAAGGUGGCCACGACACUCUCAGCCUCUCCGGGCUGCUGCCGGACCACAGCUACUACGCUCAUCUGAUCUUCGAGUUCGAGGCCGUGCAGCUUUGACCUUGGAGCCUGACGACCUGUACCGAAACAAGCUGACGCGAUCGUGAGGACGCCUGACUACGCCGCCAUGUUGGCCGAAGGCAAGAGGCUCGGGGACAAGGUGGAGCAGAAGAAGCAGAUGGAUGAUGAAUCGGUACCAGCGGAGAGGCCCUUGAGAUUGCAGUUGCAGGGGACGCUCUGCUUCUUCCUAAGAGCUUGGUGCACUUCCACGGUGCAAAGACCGUUGCAUUUGAUUGUUGGAGGGUCUUGUCUGGUCUUUUUCAUGUGCGUUGCUAGUUGUGAUUUGUUGUACAAUCAU